AGACAGCACUGAGCACACACACUCCCACAUGUCAAAAGAAGAGUGAGUUAGAGCCCUGGCAAUUGCAGAGCAGUCAUGUCUUUUGGCUCUUCUUAUAGACUGGUCGGUUGAUGGGAGAACCAAGUGGGAAGGGCCAUUUUCCAUGCCCCUGGAAGAGUCUGACGGUCAUCAUCUAAACAGCAGGAAGAAAACUACUCUGAGUGAGAACUGGCUCUCCCUUCUGGAAUCUGUAGACCGCUGCAUCCUUUUUCGAGGUUGCUUGUCAGGGUGGCUGUGUCUUAGAACAGCGCUGCUCAAGGCUGCCUGGACGUCAGAGCCACCCAGGGGCCCCUGGAAUGAUCCCAGGGCACCGGCUGGACCCAGUCAACUCCUCUGGAAUCUUUGGACUCAGGUUGACCCACAGGGGUAUUACAUCAAUAAAUAGAGUUCUUCUGGGCAA
rnacentral:lncRNA from 1 species